rnacentral:rRNA from 1 species
UACGUAGGGGGCAAGCGUUGUCCGGAUUUAUUGGGCGUAAAGAGCGUGUAGGCGGCCAGACAGGUCAGCUGUGAAAACUCGAGGCUCAACCUCGAGACGUCGGCGGAAACCAUCUGGCUAGAGUCCGGAAGAGGAGAGUGGAAUUCCUGGUGUAGCGGUGAAAUGCGCAGAUAUCAGGAAGAACACCCGUGGCGAAGGCGGCUCUCUGGGACGGUACUGACGCUGAGACGCGAAAGCGUGGGGAGCGAACAGG